rnacentral:lncRNA from 1 species
CCAAAGCAGUCUUAUUGGCUUCGUUGAUGGCGCAUGCCAUUCUAACAACUGCUACCCAGCCACCACCGGCACAUGUUCUCGAUGGAGAACAAGGCACAAAGGCACAAUAGUACACAGCCGAGCUUCAAUAUCAGUUGGGAACUGGCUUUAGGUGCGGUUUUCUAACCGGGAAUGCAGAUACGAGACUAAAGCCCAUCAUCGGAUCGGAAUUAAAAAAAUAGUUUAAAUCCUAGGUGACUUCCCUUGCCUCGCACGUAACUUCCUUACCAAUUCAAUUGCAAGUCUUGGGUGCUCUCCUUUUAAAUUCAACCAUGGGAUACAUUUAAUCCUAGGUGGGAGACCUUUAGUUUGGGUUGGUAGUACCAACUUGGACUAAAAGGUGACCGUUUAAUCUGGUUUGGUGUUCCCAACUAGGAUAAAAGUCUAUUUGGUGCCUAUGAAAUUUAAACUCAGAAAUAAAAGAGCCUUUAGUCCCGAUGCGCAACACAACCGAAACUAAAGGUGGGAACUGAAAGUCCUUUCUCUACAAGUGCACACUACAGCUUCCCAUGCACUUAUCUAGAUGGCAUAAUCGCCCGCCACGGACACAGUGCUAUGUGGGGAUGUCCUCAUCAUGGGGCCAGCUGCUGGUCCUCUCUCCAUCUGCGAGCUUCCCCAGGGGCCAAUCUAGACACAUCUUUGUUCACCUCCAUGCAUCCAGUGGGAGGAAGGGCAACAAUAGCAACAGCAUUAGGGGGCCACAGGAGCUUUCAUCACCCAAAGUGGUCUCACCGUCACCUGCAGGAACGAUCUCAAUCAUGGAAGUAGUAGUGGCACAUGGUGCUACUAACCACCAAACAUGAGGCCGCUUCAAAUUAAUGUAGCCACAACCGCCGCCAUUGGUCUGACUUCAUCAACCUCCACUC